GAUGAACGCUAGCGGCAGGCUUAAUACAUGCAAGUCGUGGGGCAGCAGCUUUAUAGCAAUAUAGAGGCUGGCGACCGGCAAACGGGUGCGGAACACGUACUGAACCUUCCUUUAAGUGGGGAAUAGCCCAGAGAAAUUUGGAUUAAUACCCCGUAACAUAUAGAAGUGGCAUCGCUUUUAUAUUAAAGCUCCGGCGCUUAAAGAUGGCAGUGCGGCUGAUUAGGUAGUUGGCGGGGUAACGGCCCACCAAGCCUACGAUCAGCAACUGGUGUGAGAGCACGACCAGUCACACGGGCACUGAGACACGGGCCCGACUCCUACGGGAGGCAGCAGUAAGGAAUAUUGGUCAAUGGACGGAAGUCUGAACCAGCCAUGCCGCGUGGAGGAUGAAGGUCCUCUGGAUUGUAAACUUCUUUUAUCUGGGACGAAAAAGGGCUUUUCUAAGUCAACUGACGGUACCAGAUGAAUAAGCACCGGCUAACUCCGUGCCAGCCGCCGCGGUAAGAC
rnacentral:rRNA from 1 species